AAAUUGCCUUGGAUACUGGGUGUCUUGAAUCUGACAGAGGUCGGUGGAAUUCGUGGUGUAGCGGUGAAAUGCAUAGAUAUCACGAAGAACAUCAGUGGCGAAGGCGGCCGGCUGGGUCAGUAUUGACGCUGAGGCACGAGAGCGUGGGGAGCGAACAGGAUUAGAUACCCUGGUAGUCCACGCUGUAAACGAUGUAUGCUAGUUGUUGGGCCUUCGGGUUCAGUGACGCAGUUAACGCAGUAAGCAUACCACCUGGGGAGUACGCUCGCAAGAAUGAAACUCAAAGGAAUUGACGGGGGCCCGCACAAGCGGUGGAGCAUGUGGCUUAAUUCGAUGCAACGCGAAGAACCUUACCCGGGCUAAAUCCUGGCCGACCGGUCCCGAAACGG
rnacentral:rRNA from 1 species